GAAAGACAGAUCCUGGAAGCCUGUGAAACAGUUAAAGAGGAUGCCUGAGGUCAACGUCUGGCCUCUACAAGUUCAUGAACAGUUUUGGAAACAGGGUUUAUCCUGCCUCUGCCACAAGCUGGGACUAAAGGCGAGCACCAGCAGCACCCAGCUGCAGUUGUUUUAAAUGUGAAUCCUCAUCACCUUCACCUUGAAUGUGGCUUAAACUUCCAGCGGUAGACAUCUUGAUUCCCACCCCCACCCCCCACUCCACCCCCAUCCAUAUCUGGUUCUAUCUAUUCACUUGCCGGUACGUGAUUUUUCCAAUUCAAAUUUUAUAAUAAUUUUGCUUCUUUUUAUUUUCCUGUUUUCCUGUUAUUUCUCCAUUAAUUUUUCCAUGUAGAUAAUACACCUCUCUUUCUCUCCCCCGCCCCCCACCCUUUUCUCUGCCCUCGUGCCAUCUGUCUGCAUGUCUACAUACCCACUUGCCUGCCUCUUCUGCUUUCCCAGGCUCUCACUCCACUCUCUUCCCUGAAUAUCUUUCACACCAGGUCUGUGUGGUGGAAUUUCUCAGGGGCACCCUUUUACAUGGGUCUGCCAAAGGCACCCUCCUCACCAAUUAGAUUUCCUAACAUACCCAGUAAGAGAAAAGAAAGGAAAAGGAGAGGAAAGGAAAAAGAAAAGCAGGAAGGAAAAGGAGGAGCAAGGAGAGGAAGAUUUAAGAAACAAAUAUUCCUAGGGGUAGCUGGUCCCACCCCUCGCUGGCUGCAGCAUUGGGGAGGACAGACAGGAGCUCACGGGGGUAACGUGGUAGAGCUGGCCCUGGUGGUGUGGGCACAGGAGAGCUGGCCCCAAUGGCAUGAACUCAGGAGAGCCAAGCCUGACCCUUGACUGCUACUGUAGGCAGGAGAGCUGUCCCUACCUUUCAUCUGGGCAAAGCAGGGAAGCUGGCUAUGGUGGUACAAUACAGGUUGCAGGAAAGAGGGUGGGCUGACCAACUCGGCUGCCAUCCAGGCUGAUCCAGGGCUUUGAGCUGACCAACUCCAACAUCUACCCCAUUGAUGAACUGCUGGAGCUCGGGAGCUUCGGAAGGGGCUGGCUGUCCAGACCCAAAGCCGCAGGAUCUCCAUGACACGGGGCCAGAAGAGGAGAGCUGAGAGGAAUCCCAGUGAGGAUCCAGCAGUGACAGUGCAGCAGGCAGCCAGAGGCCUCGAACCAGACCAAUGACUCACUAAAAUGAACAUACGCAAGUAAAGCUAUUUGGGCAAAAGGGUGUCCUGUGGGACACACUGUGACACACUACAGCUUCCAUGACCAGAUGGUUUUGCUAUUCUUGUUGUGCUUUUCUUUUCUUUGGAUGGGAGUGUGUGUUGCAAGGGCCGAGGUCAGAUAUGGAGGGUCAGGGAGAUGAAUAGGAUUUCCGGGGCACUAUGUGAAAUUGACAAAGCACCAAUAAAAAGUUUUUAAAAAUAAAAAUAUUUAUUGCUAAAGUGA